AAUGCCUAGGAAUCUGCCUGGUAGUGGGGGAUAACGUUCGGAAACGGACGCUAAUACCGCAUACGUCCUACGGGAGAAAGCAGGGGACCUUCGGGCCUUGCGCUAUCAGAUGAGCCUAGGUCGGAUUAGCUAGUUGGUGAGGUAAUGGCUCACCAAGGCGACGAUCCGUAACUGGUCUGAGAGGAUGAUCAGUCACACUGGAACUGAGACACGGUCCAGACUCCUACGGGAGGCAGCAGUGGGGAAUAUUGGACAAUGGGCGAAAGCCUGAUCCAGCCAUGCCGCGUGUGUGAAGAAGGUCUUCGGAUUGUAAAGCACUUUAAGUUGGGAGGAAGGGUUGUAGAUUAAUACUCUGCAAUUUUGACGUUACCGACAGAAUAAGCACCGGCUAACUCUGUGCCAGCAGCCGCGGUAAUACAGAGGGUGCAAGCGUUAAUCGGAAUUACUGGGCGUAAAGCGCGCGUAGGUGGUUUGUUAAGUUGGAUGUGAAAUCCCCGGGCUCAACCUGGGAACUGCAUUCAAAACUGACUGACUAGAGUAUGGUAGAGGGUGGUGGAAUUUCCUGUGUGGCGGUGAAAUGCGUAGAUAUAGGAAGG
rnacentral:rRNA from 1 species